UACGUAGGGGGCAAGCGUUGUCCGGAAUCAUUGGGCGUAAAGAGCUCGUAGGCGGUCUGUUGCGUCGGCUGUGAAAACCCGGGGCUCAACCCCGGGCCUGCAGCCGAUACGGGCAGACUAGAGUUCGGCAGGGGAGACUGGAAUUCCUGGUGUAGCGGUGAAAUGCGCAGAUAUCAGGAGGAACACCGGUGGCGAAGGCGGGUCUCUGGGCCGAUACUGACGCUGAGGAGCGAAAGCGUGGGGAGCGAACAGG
rnacentral:rRNA from 1 species